CGUCAAGAAGUGGACGUGUGGAGGUGUACCUGAAUGGUCAGUGGAGGCGGUGUGUGACUGUCAUUGGACAGACAUAGAUGCCAGUGUGAUCUGCAGACAGCUGGGGUUGGGUGAGAUCGGCACUGCUUUGGAGCAGUCCAGGUUCGGCUCGGGCUCCGGCCUCUUCCAUUACGAGCGGCUGAGUUGCCGUGGUGAUGAGAGCUCCGUCAGCCAAUGCCAGAGCAGGACAUUUGUUACCGGGGACUGUAGCCAUGGAAAUGAGGCGGGAGUUGUGUGUGCUCCACCAGAAGGCAGUGGUCUUCCUCUAUGAUUGGUUGGAGUAGAAGAAUACUUUGAGGGGCGUGUUGAGGUGUUCCACAGUGGUAGGUGGGGGUCUGUCUGCGAUGACCAAUGGGACGACAGGGAUGCAGAGAUGGUCUGUCAACAGCUGGGCUUCGGGGGUGUGGCGAAGGCCUGGUCGUGGGCUCACUUCGGACAUUUUCAACCCACUCUGCCUCCAAUAGAACCACAGAUGAUGCAAUCUCUAUUGCACUCCACACUCCCCUUACCCACCUGGACAAAAGGAACACCUACAUCAGAUUGCUGUUCAUUGACUACAGCUCAACAGUUCAACAUAAUAUUGCCCUCAAAGCUCAUCACUAAGCUAAGAACCCUGGGACUAAACAUAUUUCACUGUAAGGUGAUUUCACUGUACACCUGUAUUCGGCAUAUGUGACAAAUUACAUUUGAUCUGAUUUAAUGCGUGGGUUCAAUUCAAUUGAAUUCAUAAUAUUUAAAUCUCCAAGGGUCAGUUAUUGCUGGGCAUAAAAGGCCAUAGGCUGCGUGCAAACAAUAGGCCUAUAAUGAAAACAUGAUCAUAAAUAAACUACAGGACCGGUGGCGACCCAUAAUUCAGGGCAGGUGGGGCAGUUUUGACCCCCACCUGUUUAGCACAAAAAUAUAUAUACAGUACCAGUCAAAAGUUUGGACACACCUACUCAUUUCUUUAUUUUUACUAUUUUCUACAUUGUAGAAUAAUAGUAAAGACAUCAAAACUAUGAAAUAACACAUAUGGAAUCAUGUAGUAACCAAAAACGUGUUAAACAAAUCAAAAUAUAUUUUACAUUUGAGAUUCUUCAAAGUAGCCAUCCUAUACCUUGAUGACAUCUUUGCACACUCUUGGCAUUCUCUCAACCAGCUUCACCUGGAAUGCUUUUCCAACAGUCUUGAAGGAGUUCCCACAUAUGGUGAGCACAUGUUGGCUGCUUUUCCUUCAGUGUGGGCAACAUAAGAAAACAACUGGCUCUCUUCAACAAGAUGAGGUAUUGGAUUAAGAAUUUGACUCUGAAAUACAAACAGGAUCUCUUGAUGCGAUAUAAAUAUAUAUGUUACAUUUGAAUUGUAUUUCAUCAAUUAACUGAAGGCACACUUUGGCAUCACCUGUGAUAUUUCUCCUUAAAAUCAUGAUUUAUUUAGCCUAUACCGCUUUUGUAAUUUAGUACUGCUAAUAAUACCUUUUAUUUGUAUGAUCGACUUGACAUGAAACAGUAAUAAACACACAGCAACUUUGAUAUUGCUAGUGCAAUAUGAAUGCUGGGGCAGUAGAGGGAGCUAGGCAUUAGUGUAAGUAUGUGAAAGCCUAGAGAGGAGGUAGAUAGUGCCUGUCAGGACUCAGGGGAGAGGGUGUUGAUUGACCUGACUACCUUGGGAUCAAAUGGGAUUAUGUGACACUCUGCUUUAUGGUCCGACACCUUGGGAGGAGGAAGUGCCAACAACAGUUCAAAUGCUGGAUGGUAAUAAUUGUAUUUUUCAAGGUAGAUAUGUAAGUCAAGCUGAAAGCACUUGAGUGUCACUUCACUUGGGGCAUAAGGAAGGCUGACAUUAAGGAACUGGACAGCCUUCCUGAAAAACUCCUGUAUCGCAUCAGGAAGAUCUGCACUUCGAACCAUGCCACAUAUUUCAACUUACUAGCCUUUCUGAGCCACCUGGAGGAAAACAAUGUUAGUGCUCUUGAGUAUCUCCACAAGGCUGAGAGUGCAUUGAAGAAUAGACAGGAUGAUACAGAGUUACUGGUGACCUAUGCUAACUUUGCAUGGGUUCACUAUCACUCAGGGAACAUGAAUGAUGUGGAUGCCUACACUCUAAAACAUUUCAGCCACUCAGUAGCCAGUAUAUUACUGUAAAUGUACAGUACAUUUCUUGCAGCACAGAAGCCAGUAAAUUACUGUAGAUUUACAGGACCUUUACUGUAACAAAAAUGUAUAACAUAUAACUGGAACACCUUACUCGAGUACCAUGCUGUAUUUCUAGAAUUUACAGUGCAUUACUGGAAGCACAGUGGUUAGUAAACUGUUGCAGAUUUACAGUGCAGGUCACUAGUGUCAACAACAGGUAGUAUUUAUGUUACAUGUAUUUGAUAUUUCAAUAUUUUCCAUACCUAUUUUGUCAUUUGUAUUUCACUGGCCCGAACUAGAUUUCAUGUAGCCUAUUUUGUAAGAGUUUAUUUAGAAUACUUUUAUUUUGUAUUUUCUAAUACGAAUAUAUACUUGCAAGUAACACCUCUCUCCAUCUUAUCCUCUCAGCCUCUAUGAGUGCCAUCUCAUGCUUAUCAAUUGUUUCCCUUUUUUUGCUGCUUAUUGCCAGUUCUUUCCAUGUUUUCAUGCAGUUUCGGUGUUCUGGACUGGUGUCGUGUGAAGUCAGCAAAGAACUUGCAUGUUUCCAGUCUGUCAGUCCUGGGUUUGCUUAAUACAUUUUCUUCUUAGAAAAGAGUUUGCAGCAGAAGCAGAAGAAGCUGUUGUUUCUUUCAGAAUACACCAACCAACUUCAAGGUCUUUCUUCUUACAUCCCUCUCAUUCCGUGGGAAAACAAAGUUAGGUGGUACCUCACUUGGUCCUCUGCAAACUAGUUGUGUCCGGAUUCUGUCAGUCAGAACUUCAGGCCAGUCAGCAGGGUCUGUAGACAGUGGUUCAUCCUCAGCAGCAGGAUUUGGUGAGGAUGCUGCUACAGGCAUUUCUAACAGAGAGCACAUGGGCAUAAGAUUACACACGUUAUUCACAGCAUUUAUAGUGGUGGAACAUCCCACAUACAUACCCAGUAAUAAUAACAUCAUCAUUGUUACCUACAAUAUGGAAACUUAAAACUUUGCAAAAAGGGAAAUUAUUUAUUUUGUUUAUGUUAUGCAGGGAUGCACACAAAAACACAUGUGCGUGUCCCCACACAAAUGUGCACAUGUACACAAACACACCUGAAGAAUCCUGCUGGUGAGAAGUGGAAGUAAAUGGGUCUUCAUCCUCAUCCUCCGGCUCAGACAACAUUUGUGAAGAGGCCUGUGUGGCUGAGGAGGUGGUGGCUCAUCAUCCUGAGGCGCCAAGAUCAUUUCUGAAUAGGCCUGUGUGGCUGAGGAGGUAGAUGGCUCCUCAUCCUGGCCAGUGCCAGAGAGUGCUCCAAAGUGCCCCUGAAUUUGCAUUGAAAUACAGUAUAUGAGUCUGACACCCUAACUACAUUUUUUGCACAAUUAAAUAUACAUGUCAUUAUGCACAAUUUAUCAAACUUUCAGAAUAGGAACCAAAUUAACCCCACAACCUCCUUGGUUAAUUCUAGGCAUAAGACACCCCAAAAUACUCAAUAUAUCACAAAAGAUACAAAAUAUCAGCAUAAUAUAUACGUCUUUUAAGUUAGCCUACAGCAUUGGAAAUUCCCUUACUGAGUUCAGGACCUGGUCAAUACAAUCACAGAAAACCUUUAUGUCUGUCACGACUUCCGCCGAAGUUGGCUCCCCUGCCUGUUCGGGUGGUGCUCGGCGGUCGUCGUCACCGUCCUACUAGCCACUACCGAUCCCUUUUUCGUUUGUCUGUUGGUUUUGUCUUAUUAGUUUCACCUGUGUGUAUUUUAGUUUAAUUAGCGUCCUUAUAUAUAGUAGGUUGUCCCGCCCUUGUUUUGUGUCCAGGCCUGUCUGAAGUUUGCCAAUGACCAUCUGGAUGACCCAGAGGAGGAAUGGGAGAAUGUCAUGUGGUCUGAUGAGACAAAAUAAAGCUUUUUGGUCUAAACUACACUUGCCGUGUUUGGAGGAAGAAGAAGGAUGAGUACAACCCCAAGGACACCAUCCCAACCGGGAAGCAUGGAGGUGAAAACAUCCAUCUUUGGGGAUGCUUUUCUGUAAAGGGGACAGGAUGACUGCACCGUAUUGAGUGGAGGAUGGAUGGGGCCAUGUAUCGCGAGAUCUUGGCCAACAUCCUCCUUCCCUCAGUAAGAGCAUUGAAGAUGGGUCGUGGCUGGGUCUUCCAGUAUGACAGCAACCCAUAACACACAGCCAGGGCAACUAAGGAGUGGCUCCGUAAGAAGCAUCUCAAGGUCCUGGAGUGGCCUAGCCAGUCUCCAGACCUGAACCCAAUAGAAAAUCUUUGGAGGGAGCUGAAAGUCCGUAUUACCCAGCAAUAGCUCUGAAACCUGAAGAAUCUGGGGAAGGUCUGUAUGGAGGAGUGGGCCAAAAUCCCUGCUGCAGUGUGUGCAAACCUGGUCAAGAACUACAGGAAACGUAUGAUCUCUGUAAUUGCAAACAAAGGUUUCUGUACCAAAUAUUAAGUUCUGCUUUUCUGAUGUGUCAAAUACUUA